rnacentral:piRNA from 1 species
UGCCUGGACAAUUGCUGACCGAAGGUGGCC